rnacentral:rRNA from 1 species
UACGUAGGGUGCGAGCGUUAAUCGGAAUUACUGGGCGUAAAGCGUGCGCAGGCGGUUUUGUAAGCCAGAUGUGAAAUCCCCGGGCUUAACCUGGGAAUGGCAUUGGUGACUGCACGGCUAGAGUGUGUCAGAGGGGGGUAGAAUUCCACGUGUGAGCAGUGAAAUGCGUAGAGAUGUGGAGGAAUACCGAUGGCGAAGGCAGCCCCCCGGGAUAACACUGACGCUCAUGCCACGAAAGCGUGGGGAGCAAACAGG